rnacentral:tRNA from 1 species
GCCGGGGUGGCGGAAUUGGCAGGCGCGCGGGACUCAAAAUCCCGUGGGCGAAAGCCCGUGUGGGUUCGACUCCCACCCCCGGCA